AUUGAACGCUGGCGGCAGGCCUAACACAUGCAAGUCGAACGGUAACAGGAAGCAGCUUGCUGCUUCGCUGACGAGUGGCGGACGGGUGAGUAAUGUCUGGGGAUCUGCCCGAUGGAGGGGGAUAACCACUGGAAACGGUGGCUAAUACCGCAUAACGUCGCAAGACCAAAGUGGGGGACCUUCGGGCCUCACACCAUCGGAUGAACCCAGAUGGGAUUAGCUAGUAGGUGGGGUAACGGCUCACCUAGGCGACGAUCCCUAGCUGGUCUGAGAGGAUGACCAGCCACACUGGAACUGAGACACGGUCCAGACUCCUACGGGAGGCAGCAGUGGGGAAUAUUGCACAAUGGGCGCAAGCCUGAUGCAGCCAUGCCGCGUGUAUGAAGAAGGCCUUCGGGUUGUAAAGUACUUUCAGCGGGGAGGAAGGGAUGGUGCUUAAUACGCGCCGUCAUUGACGUUACCCGCAGAAGAAGCACCGGCUAACUCCGUGCCAGCAGGCGCGGUAAUACGGAGGGUGCAAGCGUUAAUCGGAAUUACUGGGCGUAAAGCGCACGCAGGCGGUCUGUUAAGUCAGAUGUGAAAUCCCCGGGCUUACCCUGGGAACUGCAUUUGAAACUGGCAGGCUUGAGUCUCGUAGAGGGGGGUAGAAUUCCAGGUGUAGCGGUGAAAUGCGUAGAGAUCUGGAGGAAUACCGGUGGCGAAGGCGGCCCCCUGGACGAAGACUGACGCUCAGGUGCGAAAGCGUGGGGAGCAAACAGGAUUAGAUACCCUGGUAGUCCACGCCGUAAACGAUGUCGACUUGGAGGCUGUUUCCUUGAGAAGUGGCUUCCGGAGCUAACGCGUUAAGUCGACCGCCUGGGGAGUACGGCCGCAAGGUUAAAACUCAAAUGAAUUGACGGGGGCCCGCACAAGCGGUGGAGCAUGUGGUUUAAUUCGAUGCAACGCGAAGAACCUUACCUGGUCUUGACAUCCACGGAAUUCGGCAGAGAUGCCCUAGUGCCUUCGGGAACCGUGAGACAGGUGCUGCAUGGCUGUCGUCAGCUCGUGUUGUGAAAUGUUGGGUUAAGUCCCGCAACGAGCGCAACCCUUAUCCUUUGUUGCCAGCGCGUGAUGGCGGGAACUCAAAGGAGACUGCCGGUGAUAAACCGGAGGAAGGUGGGGAUGACGUCAAGUCAUCAUGGCCCUUACGACCAGGGCUACACACGUGCUACAAUGGCGCAUACAAAGAGAAGCGACCUCGCGAGAGCAAGCGGACCUCAUAAAGUGCGUCGUAGUCCGGAUUGGAGUCUGCAACUCGACUCCAUGAAGUCGGAAUCGCUAGUAAUCGUGGAUCAGAAUGCCACGGUGAAUACGUUCCCGGGCCU
rnacentral:rRNA from 1 species